rnacentral:rRNA from 1 species
AUUGAACGCUGGCGGCAGGCCUAACACAUGCAAGUCGAACGAGUGGCGGACGGGUGAGUAACGUCUGGGAAACUGCCCGAUGGAGGGGGAUAACUACUGGAAACGGUAGCUAAUACCGCCUACCAUCGGAUGUGCCCAGCUGGGAUUAGCUAGUAGGUGGGGUAACGGCCCACCUAGGCGACGAUCCCUAGCUGGUCUGCGAGGAUGACCAGCAACACUGGAACUCAGAGACGGUCCAGACUCCUACGGGGGGCAGAGGUGGGGAAUAUUGGACAAUGGGGGCAAGCAUGAUCCAGCCAUGCCGGGUGUAUGAAGAAGGCCUUCGGGUUGUAAAGUACUUUCAGCGGGGAGGCGUUACUCGCAGAAGAAGCACCGGCUAACUACGUGCCAGCAGCCGCGGUAAUAC